rnacentral:tRNA from 1 species
AGCCUUAUAUUCAUUAAAUGAUUUUGAGUUGCAAAUUCAAAGGAAGAACAUUUUUCUUAAGGCUU